rnacentral:snRNA from 1 species
GCGGCAGCAGCACAUAUACUAAAAUUGGGACAAUACAGAGAAGAUUAGCAUGACCCCUAAGCAAGGAUGACAUGCAAAUUUGUGAAGCAUUCCAUAUUUAA